rnacentral:rRNA from 1 species
GACAAACGCUGGCGGCGUGCCUAAAACAUGCAAGUCGAACGGACUCUUCGGAGUCAGUGGCGGACGGCUGAGUAACACGUAGGUGACCUGCCCUUGAGUGGGGAAUAACGGUCCGAAAGGAUCGCUAAUACCGCAUACGACCGCUGCAUUUUGGUGUGGUGAGGAAAGCCGAAAGGCGCUCGAGGAGGGGCCUGCGUCCGAUUAGCUAGUUGGUGGGGUAAAGCCUACCAAGGCGACGACGGUAGCUGGUCUAAGAGGAUGAUCAGCCAGACUGGGACUGUGACACGGCCCAGACUCCUACGGGAGGCAGCAGUUAGGAAUCUUGGGCAAUGGGCGAAAGCCUGACCCAGCAACGCCGCGUGGGUGACGAAGGCCUUCGGUCGUAA